AGUGAACGCUGGCGGUAGGCCUAACACAUGCAAGUCGAACGGCAGCACAGUAAGAGCUUGCUCUUACGGGUGGCGAGUGGCGGACGGGUGAGGAAUACAUCGGAAUCUACUUUUUCGUGGGGGAUAACGUAGGGAAACUUACGAUAAUACCGCAUACGACCUACGGGUGAAAGCAGUGGAUCUUCGGACCUUGCGCGAUUGAAUGAGCCGAUGUCGGAUUAGCUAGUUGGCGGGGUAAAGGCCCACCAAGGCGACGAUCCGUAGCUGAUCUGAGAGGAUGAUCAGCCACACUGGAACUGAGACACGGUCCAGACUCCUACGGGAGGCAGCAGUGGGGAAUAUUGGACAAUGGGCGCAAGCCUGAUCCAGCAAUACCGCGUGGGUGAAGAAGGCCUUCGGGUUGUAAAGCCCUUUUGCUGGGAAAGAAAAGCAGCAGGUUAAUACCCCGCUGUUCUGACGGUACCCAAAGAAUAAGCACCGGCUAACUUCGUG
rnacentral:rRNA from 1 species